rnacentral:rRNA from 1 species
AUUGAACGCUGGCGGCAUGCCUAACACAUGCAAGUCGAGCGGCUGCACGGGUCUUUCCCCUGGCUUCCGCGGCGGACGGGUGUGUGAUGCACAUGAGUCUGCCUCGUCGUGGGGGCUAUCGUCCGGCCACGGGCGCUUAUAUCCCACCUGCGCUGAGGGUGUAAGUGGGGGAUCUUCGGACCUCUCGCUCUCUGCUGUUCCUCGGUCGGAUUAGCUAGUUGGUGGGGUAAAGGCCUACCAAGGCGACGAUCCGUAACUGGUCUGAGAGGCUGAUCAGUCACACUGGAACUGAGACACGGUCCAGACUCCUACGGGAGGCAGCAGUGGGGAAUAUUGGACAAUGGGCGAAAGCCUGAUCCAGCAAUGCCGCGUGUGUGAAGAAGGUCUUCGGAUUGUAAAGCACUGUUAGUAGGGAAGAAGGGCAGUGAGUUAAUACGUGGAGGGUGUGACGGUACCGAAAGAAUAAGCACCGGCUAACUACGUG